rnacentral:rRNA from 1 species
AUGGAUAUGGAGCUCGACGCCGCUCGCCACGGGUUCGCCAAGAUGGGCUUCGGGUGCAAGCACUACCGGAGGCGGUGCAGGAUCCGGGCGCCUUGCUGCAACGACGUCUUCCACUGCCGCCAUUGCCACAACUACUCCACGAAAGACGGGCACGAGCUCGACCGCCACGCAGUUGAAUCGGUUAUAUGCCUCGUCUGCGACACCGAGCAGCCGGUGGCGCAAGUGUGCAGCAACUGCGGCGUGUGCAUGGGGGAGUACUUCUGCCGGGCGUGCAAAUUCUUCGACGACGAUGUCGACAAGGAGCAAUACCACUGCAAAGACUGCGGCAUCUGCAGAGUUGGAGGGAAGGACAACUUCUUCCACUGCAAGAAGUGCGGAUCGUGCUACUCGGUGACCCUCCGGGACAAGCAUGUCUGCAUCGAGGGCUCAAUGAAGAACAACUGCCCGAUCUGCUACGAGUACCUGUUCGACUCCCUGAGGGAGUCGUCGGUGCUGAGAUGCGGCCACACCAUGCACCUGCAGUGCUUCCACGAGAUGCUCAAGCACGACAAGUUCACUUGCCCCAUGUGUUCUGUGUCCAUCUUUGACAUGGAAAAAUUCUUGAGGGCCUUAGAUGCUGAGAUUGAGGCCAAGUUCUUACACAUGGGAAAGGGAUGGAUCGUGUGCAACGACUGCUGGGACACGACCCGAGUGUAUCCGGGCAUGGCCGGACAGAGAAAGUGUUGCCAUUGCCAGUCCUACAACACCUGCAGGGUCGCUCCAUCGGUGCUACCGGCCUAG